ensembl:snRNA U5 U5 spliceosomal RNA
AUGCUCAGGUUUCUCUUCAGAACGUACGAAUCUUUCGCCUUUUACUAAAGAUUUCCGUGGAGAGGAACAAGCUUGGGUAGCACAGAAUUUUUUGUGGCUUCACUGUGGUGGAGC